ensembl:Y_RNA Y_RNA Y RNA
GGCUAGUCCGAGUGCAGAGGUGUUGAUAACUAAUUCAACACAAUCAGUUACAGAUUUCUUUGUUCCUUCUCCACUCACACUGCUUCACUUGACUAGCCUUUA